UUCGCUUUUCCGACCGCGAGGAGAGCGGUUGGAGGUUCGAGCCGAGCGAAGCGAGACAACGUUGCUUCAGCAACGGCCCAUAGGGCGAAGCGUUUACGCUGAGUAAUCCUCCUGGAUGCACCA
rnacentral:sRNA from 1 species